GAACGCAUAUUGCGCCCUCUGGUAUUCCGGGGGGCAUGCCUGUCCGAGCGUCAUUUCAACCCUUAAGCCUAGCUUAGUGUUGGGAGACUGCCUAAUACGCAGCUCCUCAAAACCAGUGGCAGAGUUUUUACGUACUCUGAGCGCAGUAAUUCUAUUCUCGCUUUUGAACACGUCUAGACGAUAGCCAAAAACCGCUUGCUUCGGCAGCACUUUUUUAAUGGUUGACCUCGGAUCAGGUAGGAAUACCCGCUGAACUUAAG
rnacentral:misc_RNA from 1 species